rnacentral:rRNA from 1 species
GACGAACCGUGCAAACGUUAUUCGGAAUCACUGGGCUUAAAGGGCGCGUAGGCGGGCUGUCAGGUCCGGGGUGAAAGCCUCCAGCUUAACUGGAGAAGUGCCUUGGAUACCGGCAGCCUCGAGGGAGGUAGGGGCGUGCGGAACUUCGGGUGGAGCGGUGAAAUGCGUAGAUAUCCGAAGGAACACCGGUGGCGAAAGCGGCGCGCUGGAUCUCUUCUGACGCUGAGGCGCGAAAGCCAGGGGAGCAAACGGG